CCCACCCAUGCCCACUGUACUCCACGUUUUCAACAUCCUUGAAUCUGAUGUUGCCUGUGUCUACCUACAGAACAGUACUCAGAUAAGCCAUGGGAAGACCAGGCUGCCUUUGCAGUGGCUCCCGACCUAAAACCAAAGCACAUUAGCUGGAAAUCACUGCAUAGGAAGUCUUGGUAAAGAUUUCAGAAGUGGAUAAAUGAAUUUGCCAGGAGUGGGAAGCAGAGUCAACCUAAAUGGACAAGAACAUUCCUGGUGUGAUCUUAUGGCAGAUUGUUUGAACACCUGCAGGCAUUCGAGGACCGUCCUCUCAAGCACCCUCAUCUAUGUCUCUUUCAACUGGAUUACCAUAAUUCAGCUAGAGGUAUGGUGUUUAGAUUGGAGAGGCUAUAGACACAAGUUUCAUCUCACACCAGGAGCUGUGUGGAUCACUGUGUUGAAAAGGAUUCUGAGGCUGCACUGGCACUUGGUGAAUAUGGAGGCAGUAAAUAAGGGGCGAUGUUUGUCUAGAGGUCGGGGUGGGGAGGGAAGAUGUAUGUGUGAAUAUGUUAACACACCUGCUGGUGGACAUAGCCCUGACUGAAGAUCCUGUGGUCCUGAGGAAGGCAUUCCUUUUCCUUGGCCUCGGUUUCCUGAUGUGAAAAAUCAAGGUGGUGUCAUGUGUCCCUUUAUCAGGCCUUGCUUAAGACUAAAGGCAGUGAAGUGAAUCAAAUGUCUUCAGAACCAUCACCAGUUACACAAUUAUGAAGUCCUGUAAGUGAAAAACUAUUUAUACACGAAUAAUUCUGUGUGGGUGUGUGUUUGUACAUGCAUUUACUUCUCUGAUGCUCCAGGAAAAGACUUGAAUGCUUUAAGCCAGAUCAAUCCUUGCAGGGGCUGGCUUAUAUAUUGCAGGAUGUGCAGUGAUACUAUCAGUGCACCUCCAACAGCUAUGACAACCAAAACAGUAUCCAGACAUGGUCAAAUAUCUGCUGAAGGCAAAAAUGACUCUUGGUUG